rnacentral:tRNA from 3 species
GCUUUGGUGGCGGAAUUGGUAGACGCAACAACAAGUUAAAGAGAUAGUCAAACGAACAUGAUGUGUAAGGCUAUGUACGUUGUUUAUGCAGGUUCGAGUCCUGCCCAAAGCA